rnacentral:rRNA from 1 species
AACGAACGCUGGCGGCAUGCCUAACACAUGCAAGUCGAACGAGACCUUCGGGUCUAGUGGCGCACGGGUGCGUAACGCGUGGGAACCUGCCCUUAGGUUCGGAAUAACUCCCCGAAAGGGGUGCUAAUACCGGAUAAUGUCUUCGGACCAAAGAUUUAUCGCCUUUGGAUGGGCCCGCGUUGGAUUAGCUAGUUGGUAGGGGAAAAGCCUACCAAGGCGACGAUCCAUAGCUGGUCUGAGAGGAUGGUCAGCCACACUGGGACUGAGACACGGCCCAGACUACUCCGGGAGGCAGCAGUGGGGGAUAUUGGACCAUGGGCGAAAGCCUGAUCCAGCAAUGCCGCGUGAGUGAUGAAGGCCUUAGGGUUGUAAAGCUCUUUUAACCGGGAUGAUAAUGACAGUACCGGGAGAAUAAGCUCCGGCUAACUCCGUG